UGUGUUCUUAUUUCCAAAUAUAGCAGCCAUUUAUAUGAUAUAAUAUUUCUAAGUAAAUGUGAUGUUGCACACUUUCUUCCUACAUUUAUUGGCAAUUUAGUUUGUGUGUGUGUACAUCUUGGUCAGAGAGGGUCUCCCCUCCCCUGCUCAGUCAACCCCCUGCGUGUGUAAUCCCUGCCAGCUGUCCCUACAAUCUAAUCUCUCUACCACGAUCAGCUGGGACGUUACACGUGUGUGUGUGUGUGUGUGUGUGAGCGCGUAUGUAUGUGCCCAGGGAGGUGGGGGUGGUGUCAAACGGAGAGCAUAAAUUGUAGCCCGAGCAUGUGCACAGCGCAGUGUGUGUGUGUGACCGUGUGUGUGAACUGCUCAUCCCUUGCAUACCUGCUCCUUCCCUCUUCCUCUGGAUAUGUAUACAUAUAUGAUGUGUUUAUAUAUGUAUAUGCGCAUUCUCAGCUUUUCGUAAAAAAAAAAAAAAAAAAAAAAAAAAACUUUUUUUUUGUGGCGUGCACAACUGGAUUUUCUCAGGCUGAUUUUCUCACGGGAGAGAAUACUCCUCUUUUUUUUUGGCUUUGGUUUUUUAGCGGCUGCAACAUCCCAGCACCUGAUUUUCCCUUCCUGCAUGCGUGAAAACCUUCCUACCUGCCUACCUCUUCCCUAAAUCCCCUCCACCCCACCCCCAGAACAUCUCCCCUUGCAAUCCCACUCUCCAGCCCCCAAGAAAAGGAGCCUCAGCUGGGGCAGAGAGCUUCGACAGGACCCCCUGUUCACCCUUGGAUGGAGAAUAGCAAGAACUGAUGGAACAGAAUGGGAAAAACCAGGAUAUACAUUUCUGUUUUCUCCGCUAGAGCGAGAAUGCGAGGAAAAAGAACGAAGCUAAAGAUAAUUCGCUGCUUAAUGUCAGUAGUUUUGAAGAAAUAGACCGUGCUUCUGGGUAAUUGUUGUAUGAGAUCUGAUGCUUGUGGCUGUAACUGAUGUGUUUUGGAAUAUUAUUAUUUUCCUAAAUACAUGUACAUCUCUGUAACGUAUGCAUUUAUUUCAACUGUCAUCGUCAGCUUCAACUCAUUUUAUGUGAUGUGAUUUUAACCGUACUUGUUUUUACUUGCCGUAUAGGUGUGCGUAUGCUGAGAGAGAGUGAGAGAAAUAAAAAGACAGAGAGAGAGGUGGGGGGAGAGAGGGAGAGAACAGACUGUCAUAGGGAAGUGCUAGCUUUACAUUGUGAUGCUGGCAGCCGUCUCAUCAUGGCGGUGGACGUGCUGAAUAGAUGAGGGGGAGAGCAGUGCAUAGCUUUGCAUCUUCGCACAUCCCUCACACACAGCUUUGCUGAUCCUCUUUGUUUGGCCGAGAGAGGGAAAAGGUCUGCUGGAAUGAAACAGAAGGCAGGUGCCAGGGCUUCUAGCAGAAUGGGUACAACAAAAGGCCGAUGGAAGAGGGGGAAUUAUGUGAUUUAAAACCCGCACGCACAAGGAGAACCCUGGGAAAGAUGUGCGAUAGUGUGUUUGUAAGUGUUUGAGAGUGAGUGUGUGUGAUUGUGCAAGAUUAGGACUUCUUGUUUGGACUGCACUAACACCACCGAAGCCCACAUCAGAUGCAGAAGGAGGAGGACAGGUGAGAAGAGAGGGAUUUUAGAUGAACACAGAAACACGGUAUUGUACUGAAGGACAAGAACAGGAUGUGCAGACUGCAUAGGGACCAAAUACAUACAGCGAGAGAACCGGCAGGGAAGCUGAAGUGCAUGAUUGAACCGUUAGCCGUGAGAACAGACCAGAUUGCAAGGAUGAAGAGGAACGGAGAGAGUAUGUAGGAAAAGACAAAGUGGACGACAUUUGGAAACUUGGGUUUUUGCUCUUUGUGUUCACAGUGGACCUUGAUUUAAUUUCAAUACAAUUAAGGCACGCGGUGAAUGCCAAGAGAGAAGCCAAAAGCAGCACUCACCUGAGCAACCGAUCGAUGGGACAAUGUCAUGUUGAGUACGGUCACUACAACUGUUGUUUCAUAUUAGACAUCAUAUGUGCACAAUAAAAUAAUACACUACACUUGCCAA